CAGGACCCCCGUGGUGUCCCUUGAGGGGGAGGAGGUGCUCUACAGCCACGUGGUGCCCACGGCCAGGGCAGCGGGGUCCCCAAGUGUCACCCCCGAGGAGCCCCAGGUGACCUACGCGGAGCUGCGGGCACCGAGGUGGCACCUGGGGGACAGCGGGGACUACGAGAACGUGCUGUGACACCGGGGUGGCACCAAGGGGUGGCACAGGGUCCUAAAUGCCACCCAGGGGACAGCAGUGACACUGGGGUGACACUGGGUCCCCAAGUGCCACCCCUCAGGAAGCUGCCAGGUCCCCAAAUGCCACCCUGGGGACAGUGGUGACAUCCACGAGAACGUGCUGUGACACCGGGGUGGCACCGGGGGUGGCACUGGGUCCUCAAAUGCCACCCAGAGGACAGCAGUGACAUUGAUGAGACCAUGCUGUGACACCGGGGGUGGCACUGGGUGGCACUGGGGACAGCCACACGCGUGGUGUCCCCUCGUCCUGUGGGUGCCCACCCUGCCCAUGGCCCUGUCCCCUCCCUGUCCCUUGUGACCGUGGCCACCACAAGCUGCUGGCAGCUGGCCUUGUCCCCUCCUUGUGGCCACCAGGACCUGUCUCCGUCCCCUGUCCCUCUGUCCCUCUGAGCCGUGGGAAUUUGGGACAAUCCCAAGAACGAGCCCAGAGUGACCCCAGGGGGGUUUUGGGGACACUCUGGGGGUUUGGGGACACCCCAGGGUGGUCCCAGCGAGCGGAGCCCUCCCCCGAUGGAAGGAAUGAAAGUUAAACUUUGAUUUCUGUCACAUUUUCCAUUUUUCUGCACAAUAAAUUCAAUUCUUGUCCCCAAA